rnacentral:rRNA from 1 species
GAUGAACGCUAGCUACAGGCUUAACACAUGCAAGUCGAGGGGAAACGGCAUUUAGUGCUUGCACCGAAUGGACGUCGACCGGCGCACGGGUGAGUAACGCGUAUCCAACCUACCCAUUACUGUGGGAUAACCUGCCGAAAGGCAGACUAAUACCGCAUAGUCUUCGAUGACGGCAUCAGAUUUGAAGUAAAGAUUUAUCGGUAAUGGAUGGGGAUGCGUCUGAUUAGCUUGUUGGCGGGGUAACGGCCCACCAAGGCAACGAUCAGUAGGGGUUCUGAGAGGAAGGUCCCCCACAUUGGAACUGAGACACGGCCCAAACUCCUACGGGAGGCAGCAGUAGGGAAUCUUCCACAAUGGACGCAAGUCUGAUGGAGCAACGCCGCGUGAGUGAAGAAGGUUUUCGGAUCGUAAAGCUCUGUUGUUGGUGAAGAAGGAUAUAGGUAGUAACUGGCCUAUAUUUGACGGUAAUCAACCAGAAAGUCACGGCUAACUACGUGCCAGCAGCCGCGGUAAUACGUAGGUGGCAAGCGUUGUCCGGAUUUAUUGGGCGUAAAGCGAGCGCAGGCGGAGAAAUAAGUCUGAUGUGAAAGCCCACGGCUCAACCGUGGAACUGCAUCGGAAACUGUUUUUCUUGAGUGCAGAAGAGGAGAGUGGAACUCCAUGUGUAGCGGUGGAAUGCAUAGAUAUAUGGAAGAACACCAGUGGCGAAGGCGGCUCUCUGGUCUGCAACUGACGCUGAGGCUCGAAAGCAUGGGUAGCGAACAGG